UUUAUUACCUCCUGCUGUUGGAAUCUCCAAGCUGCAAAUGCAGGAACUGAGUUUAAAUUGAAAACAGACAUGGUUUUAAAACAUCUUAGCGCAAUGACCGAUUUCUCAGUAAAAUAGCAAAUUGCACUUUGUGCCACUUCAUUAACAUACAGUGUACCCACAGUUAGUGCACAUACAACCACAAAUAGCGCAAACACUCCCUCCCACUUGCACUUUGUGCUGGCACAAAAAUUGCUCGCAGUCACAAGAAUUGGAUAAUAUGCAGCACAUGGUCUUUGCGCACUGAUAUCCAUCAGUGUUGUGUUUUCUGAUUUCAUUAACAUUGUUUUAGUCUCUACAUUUGUAUGGAUUUAUGUCUGUACCCUCUGAACUAACUGUACAAAACUAACUACUACUAACCUUCUAACUGAGCAGUUCUUAUGUUGUAUAUUGUUAUUGUUAUAAUAUUUUGUUUUACAUGACACAUUUCCACCAUCUCUCUGAUCCUUACAGUUAGAACAGAAUGUUUUUGCUACUUUACCUGGCUUCUACAUGUACUGUAAAUAACCUCUGCGAUGAUUUGCAAACCUCUCCGAAUCUGACAAUAAUAAUAUACAGUAGCCACCACCAAGUUGCUGAAUAUGAAUGGUAUUGAAUAUGUAAAUGUGGGUGGUCACACGUUAAUGAGCUUGUGGUUGUAACCAGGGGGUCAGAGUUUGAGUGAUUGAGCAGAUGAUAGUCUACAUUUUCUUGUUUUAUGUUGCGUUUUGGUUCCAGAAUAGCACAUGAUGUAAAUAAGAAGAUACGCUAUCAUUGUUUUAGAUUUUCAAUGCAAUAAACACACUCCCUAAACCAAAAUGACAGUGAAUUUUAGAACACAAAUUAUAAUGAAAAAGAGCAAACACAGACACAAAUAGUAGGGUUCAGAGUCUGAUUCUAAAUCUACAUGAAACCUUCAUGAAACACCUCUCGUUCUUGCUUUCCCAUCAAGAUAUUCCUCCUUUCCCAUCUAGAUACCAUGCAACCAGGGAUCAGAAUCCACCCCCCACCCCAUGAGCAUGCCUACCUGUAAAGAAGUUCAAUGGAAAGGAGUUCACUGGAAAGUAGAAGCACAAUCCUCCGCAGUUGGCCUUUAUCCCUCUCGGAGGCUUGAUUAGCCUGAUAAGGGACCGGGUCCCGCCCUGCCACACUACCCAAUGUCCAAGGUGCUGCACUGAUGUUCCCUUAAACCCUCAACACCCGACCUCCAUGGGGUAGACACCAUGGAAUUGAUGCAUCACUCAGAGGAAACCAUUAACAUGAGGAGACAGACAGUGGCAUCAUACUUCAGAGAGGCCCUCAGUUCUACUUUUGAAAAUACCUGUCUAUAAGGAAAAAGACAUGAAGGAUCCUCAAAGCUCCUGAAGCUUGCAGUCUAUCCAGAUUAUUUACUCAGUCUAAAGAAGAUACCAGCCUUUGUGUUCAAGAAAGAACCCUGCCUUUGAUUCCACUUGAACCACAGCCUUUCAAAAUUAUGCUCCUGAAAGCUGUUAUGUCUUCGAGAGCAAACACAAAGAGCUUCACGACAUCAGAGGAGGCUUUCCAAAAAUUUACAUUUGAAUCCAUUUCUUCAUAUGGAUGCUGGUUUUAGGGAGUCACUGUGGAUCAGGCAUGAAGAUCUCAAGACAUUGUUAGAUGAACAAAAUGCAAACAGAGUGGUCAUAGUGGGGUUUUUUUUGUGCAAACUGGUUGUGGAAGUCGGGGGCAAAAACAGAUAAUCAGGACACUUCAAUGAUCAAAAGGAUGACAGGGAGAAAAGCCUCAGAGAGUCUUGCGUUUGAACAGCCCCUCAGAGUGCUGAGAAAUUGUCUGGGAUGUUUAUGUAAAAGAGAUGACCUAUAUGUCCACCAACACAUGGCCCACAAGAGAAAGAGAUAGAUGGGUUGAAAGAAAAAGAGAGAAAGAGAAAAGUUUAUGGAAAAUGAAGUGUGAUUCCCCAAGCCCCCAAAAAGUACAUUUGGACCAUGAAUUUCCUCAGCGUUGUGAAACUUUCACCGGAUUUACUCCGCCCCUUCAAAGUACUUUUCAUGGCUAAUUACUCAACCAGAGUCUAAUUUAGCAUCACUUGUAUUCUCAGAGAGUUAAUGACGUAUUAUUGAUGAGAAUAUGGUCUUCCAUAACUGACAAUAUAUAGAGAUAACAAACCAGCAAUGUGAGUUUCCCAGGAGCUUUAGGGAGCACCAGAGGAGGUGGUUAUAUUCAAUAUGCACUCAUGGAUCAGUCUCCAGGCUUUGAUCUUUUUAACUGUCUUUAUGUCUUUUUUUUUCUUCAUUUUGUUAAGCCCUAAAGUUCUGGCUAAUUAAAUCUAAUAGCAUUCUUGUAGUUAAACCAGAAUGCCUGGAAUAAUGUAAUUUUGACUGUAUAACCAAUGUAAGUUGCAAUAUCAUUUUUC